CUUAUGCAAAUGAGCUCGCGGUGGCGGUCCCAUCGUGCGGUGUUGAGAGUUGUAAACUCACAUUCAAGUGGAUGUUACCUUCAUCUGUGAUGUCGCAGUUCGGAUUAUCCACCGAUGUGACAGGGUGAAAGGAUGGAUAGUGUUUUAGAACAGCUGUGAAGGAUUACCUGUGGACAAGUGUCAGUGCCUCCUCCUUCAGGAGGGGAACCAAGGAGAAGGAGGAUAUAUAUGUGUGUUGUGUUGUGUGAUCCAGGGAGUGUACUAGCAGAGCACCAGGGAAUGGGGUCCACAGAACACCGCCUCUAGACUAGCUGGACUCAUAGCGAUGAGUGGCCAGCUCUGUGUGGGGGUCUGCUGGCCAGUGCUGGUGGUAGGACUCCUCAGCCUGGCGACAUUUGUCAAUGGUGGAUGUUUGCACAUGGAUGCUGUGUAUUUGAACAACACUGUGUGGCAGCCCGACUCCUGCACGGUGUGUACUUGCCAGGACCCUGUGGCUGUGUGUGAGGGAAUCAAGUGUAUGGAUCCCAAGUGUGAUAGCCGCAGGGGUGAACAGCUUCAGUUUCCAGCAGGUGCUUGUUGUCCUGUGUGUGUGGGACGGAUGGCACCAUGUCAGAUGAAUGGACAGUCAGUACCGCACAACACUGACUGGUCCCAGUCCCAGUGUGAGACCUGCUACUGCAGCGAUGGCGAUGUCACCUGCACCAACAAGACAUGCCCUCCAACACGAUGUCGGCCUGGGGAGGUCAGCCAGAAACUGCCAGGACAGUGCUGCCCCAAGUGUAUACCCGCUGGACGAUCAUGUGUUGGAUCGACUGGCACUCACUACCCUGACGGUUCAGAGUGGUCUCCCCUUGCUUGCACCAAGUGUGCGUGUAAGGACGGACAGACAACAUGCUACCCUCGACAGUGUCCUCCUCUAGUCUGCCCUCAGGGCCAAACCCUUGCCAAAUCAGCUGAUGGCUGCUGUCAGCAGUGUAAAAGUGAACAAUGUGAAGAUCGAGGGACGUCAUAUAAGCAUGGUGAACAAUGGAGUCGAGACACGUGCACAUACUGUACAUGCGUCAGUGGCAGUGUGGAAUGUCGAACACAGCAGUGCGACACCUCCAUGAUUUGUCACAGAAAUCAAAGAAAGAUCAUACGUCCUGGUCAAUGUUGUCAUGAAUGUGUUCCUAAAAAAGGCAAAUGUUUGACCGAGGUAGAGCAUUACCAUGGAGAUAUUUGGAACAUCAGUGACUGUGAAUACUGUUCCUGUAAUGAAGGGAAAGUGCAAUGUCGAACUGCAGCGUGUGAACGUCUACAGUGUAAAGAGAAUGAAGUAUUACAGCAGUCCCCUGGGAAGUGCUGCCCAGACUGUGUCACCCAUCGACAGUGCCAGUUUGAGGGGGAUGUGUAUCUGGAUGGGGACAGCUGGCACCCAGGACCCUGCACUGUGUGUAACUGUGAGGAAGGGGAGACAGUAUGCUACCAACAGAACUGCCCAGCCUGCCCUCCUGGCAACUAUAUGUCCGUCCCUCCAGGACAGUGCUGUGGAACGUGUGAGCAAGUGGAAUGUGCGUCCGACUGUAGUCAUUGUUUGCCUGAUGAUCCACAACACUGCACACGGUGCAAGGAGUUUGGUAAACUGGCACAAGAUGGCCGCUGUGUUGAACAGUGCAAGACUGGAUUCUACCCAACAAGGGAGAACACCUGUCAAGCAUGCCACGCCAGCUGUGAGUCGUGUAUUGCUCGGACAGAGUUCCACUGUGCCACAUGCCCCCCUGGCCUGCUGUGGAGGGACGGUCAGUGUGUGGACCAGUGCACAUCGGGAUACUACCUCCAUAAUGGACAGUGCCUUGGGUGCCACCAAACCUGUGAUACGUGUGUCGGAUCGGGCCGAAGCCAGUGUGUUUCUUGUUCAUACACGGGACACGUGCUGUUACGAGGCCGAUGUGUCGACAACUGCGGUUCAAGAUACUACCUCAAGGAUAAGGAAUGUAUAGCGUGUCCACCAUACUGUAGAACUUGUCUGCCAGACAGCCCCAACUGUGCCACAUGUCACAGUGGCUACACGCUACAGAAUGGCCAGUGUUUUGAUUCCUGCUCACGAGGGUACUACCAACAUCAGGGCACCUGCACAGAAUGCCACCCUGGAUGUCUGACCUGUGAAGGAAGUGGAGAGAGUCGGUGCUUGACUUGUCCCCAGGGCUACCAGCUGCAGGGCGGGGCCUGUGUAUCCCCCUGCCCCACACAGCAAUAUAUGGAUACAGCUGGUAGUUGUCAAGCAUGCGAGUCUGGAUGCUCCUUGUGUUAUCCUGCCCGUGAGAAUGCAGGCUCAGUGUGCACCAGUUGUGAGGAUAGUAGACUCAAACCUGCAGGAAUGGGAUGUGUCCCACAAUGCCCUGCUGGAACAUACCUCAUUCGUGAUCUGUGUAAAACCUGCAAUGAGCACUGUGAGAGAUGUGAGGGACCGUCUACCUGUUCAGCCUGUAGAGCCCCCUAUGUCCUGUAUGAAUCCCAGUGUGUGGCUCACUGUGGACAAAACAGCUUCACCAACUACAAGAAUGUCUGCAAAGCCUGCAAGCGCCAUUGCCUGCAGUGUUCCAGUGAGGACCAGUGUGUGGUGUGUGACAGCCGCACCUACCUGCGCCUGGGCUCGUGCGUUGGCCAGUGUGGACAGGGAUACAUCACAGACAUGGAGCUCAGGAGAUGCAUAGCUAAUAAAUAUCCUCCUAUUCUGGAUAUUAUGGGCCCCCUUAAGACAUCUGACUCUGGGAUCACGACCAUCCCGUCCGACCUUGUGUUCUUGGAGGACCGUGACACCACGGAUGGCCUCCUAAGCAUCCUGGUGAUGAGGCCACCAUCGGGAGGUGUCCUGGUGAGGGCCACUCAAGGCCGAGAUCAGCUGCUGGGGAUGGAGGACCCCUUCAGUCUGGAUGACCUUCGCACAGGGAAGAUCAGAUAUGUCAGUGGACAGGACGGGAGGACUAGAGACAAAGUUGUACUGAAGGCCACUGAUGGCACCCUGUUCAGUGACCAGGUGAACCUUGAGCUGCAAUCGUUCCCAACCUCUUCCUUGAGUGAAAAGCUGAACAAGGCCCUGCUGGUGGUUGGAGGGGGCAAGACUGUACUCAACAGGGAGGUCCUGGACUACGAGACGUCUGGCGACAUGAACACCAUCACCAUCAGAGUGGUGCAGGGUCCCCUCCAAGGUCGUCUAGUUGAUCGCAGAACAGAGGCUUCUGUCACCCAGUUCUCCCUCCGAGACCUGCGUACAGGGGCGAUCGCCUACGAGCACUCCAGUGACAGUACAGCCGUGUCGGACAUGAUGGUUUUACAGGUGUCUGAUGACUUCAGCAUUCUCAACACCAUCAUCAAUAUCAAUGUCAGGGCAGAGAAUAGCCGCCUGCCAGUACUGAUCAACAACCGGGGAACCCAGGUGGUGUCCAGGGAGAUGGUCCAGCUCUCCAAGGAGAUGCUGCAAGCUCAGGCCAUGGACAUUGAUAACGUCCGGACAGGCGACCUCAUCUAUACACUCAUGCCAUCUGUCAACAACCCCAAACAUGGAGAGCUUGUCAUGGUGGUGCCUAUCCCAGCAAGUGGUGCAGGUCGUGGGUGGCAGGAUGUGGGGGACGGUAUGAUGGCUGCCAAAAUGUACCGGUUCAUGCAGAGAGAUAUUGAUGAAUCUCGCAUCUGGUACAGGCAUCUGAAGGGUGGCACAACCUCGGAUGUCUUCACAUUUGAGGUGGCCGACACAGCAGCGCCCCCCAACAUUUUGAAGGAGCAGAGCUUCCAUGUGACCGUCAUUGCCCAGGCUGUGGUGGAGGAACUGUCUGGCCCCACUCUGGCCCCUGGGGUCCAGCUUGGGAUGACUGUGUUGGAGAACCAGAUUGUGCCCGUGAGAUCGGACAGUCUCCUGUAUGAGGAUGCGGACACCAGUCCCACUGACGUCAUCUACGCCAUCACCACACUGCUGGGGGAGGGGGAGGGUAUGCUGGAACACAUUGACACCCCCUUCAAACCUGUCCUGCGCUUCUCCCAGGAUGAUGUCAACAACAACAGGAUUAUCUACAGGCCUCCUGAUACUGAUGUGGGCCUCACAGUCAAGAAGGUCACAUUCAGCUUUGUUGUCACUGAUGGCGGCAGAGAGAGACGUCUUCCUGAGCAGAAGUUUACGAUAACAAUCAAGCCAGUGAAUAAUGCAGCCCCUCGCUUCCGUGUGCCCAACGCGGAGGUUACAGUUGCCCAGGGUGGGCUGGUUCCUGUGGGUUCCACCCUCGAGAUAUCUGAUGCCGACACCAAGGUGGAGAACCUUGUGGUCGCCAUCACACAGGCCCCGACUCAUGGCCGACUGGAGAGGGACAUCAAUGGGCGCAAGGUGACACUCAGGGCAGGUGAUGGCUUCUCCUACGGGGACGUUCAAGGCAGCCUGAUCCAGUACGUGCAUGACGGCGCUGAGUUCCCCCUCACAGACAAGUUCCUUGUGUCUGUGUCAGAUGGCAAACACAAGGCCAUCUCCACCAUCAAGAUGGAGGUCCUCAAGGUGGACAAGGCAGCCCCGUACAUGCUCACAUCCGCAUCUUGUCACGUCAAUGUGUCCGAAGGUGGCACUGUGACCAUCACACGAGACGAUCUGGCAUUUGGCGACAGUGAUGAGUUUGAUGAAGGAAUCUACAUUAUCCUCAGUAGUGAGACAGCCCAGGGGAGACUACUCCUCAAUAACAUUCCACUCAGGGUUGGAGGAGGAUUCUCCCAAGACGACAUCAACAAUGGACGUUUAACCUAUAAGAGUGUUGAGGAGAUAGGGAGUAGGUCCCUCACAGAACUGGUUUACUUCAACAUCACAGACUCAAGUCGGAACCUGCUGCCAAGUCAAGUACUCUCUGUCCUCAUCACUCCCACAGACAACCAGUCGCCACUGGUUUCUGUUGGGCCAGACCUCAAGGUGCAAGAAGGUGGGCGUGUCCUGCUCACUGUGGAUUCCAUCAAGGUGUUGGAUGUAGACAGCCCUCUCGCCUCCCUCAUGGUCACCAUCGAGUCUCCACCAAGCUUUGGGGACAUCCUCAACACAAAGCCAGUUGAGGGAUCAGAGAGUCACCCCGGGCAUGUGGUGAAGUCCUUCACUGUCCAGGACCUGGUGGAUGGUCAUGUCUACUACAGCCAGAAGGACCACAAGAACAAGGAGCCAGUGUGGGACAACUUCCUCUUCUACGUCAGUGAUGGCGUCAAUGUCUCCCCACAACAGAGGUUCAACAUCUCCAUUACUCUUGUGAAUGAUGAGCAGCCUCACAUCAUCACUGAGCAGCUGUUUGUCCAGGAAGGGAAGGCCGUUACUCUCACCAACGCUUCCAUGUACGUCAUCGACAUCGACACAGCCCCAGAGGAUCUCUUCUUCACCCUGCAGAUUCCCCCAUCACAUGGGGCAUUGAGAGUAAAGGAACUACCAAACGAGCAACCUUUCAAUGCUAUGGCUUUGCCCGAUGGAGCCAUCUUCUCAUACGAGGAUAUCCUAAAUGAGCUGAUUGUCUACACCCAUGACGACACAGAGGCGAUGACAGACAUGUUCACCCUCCAUCUCUCCGAUGGGGACUUCAAUGACACCAAGUCUCUGAACGUCAUCAUUGGCUUGAUCAAUGAUGAGACGCCCAGGAUGACCAUCAACAGAGGCCUCAGGAUACAGUCAGGCUCUACAACCCCCCUAAGGCCCCACAUCCUGAAGGCAACUGAUGUUGACAGUGACGAUGCUGCCAUCAUCUACACCCUACGGCGAGACCCCAGUGCGGGGCACCUGUUGUACAAGAAGGGUGGGACCCAGUAUCGGCUGUCUUCAGGGGGCAGGGCCAGGUCCUUCACCCAAGCGGACAUUGAUAAUGGCUAUAUCCUGUACAGCCAUGAGCUUGGGGAUCCCACGGGGAACAUCAUCUUCAAGUUCAAAUUGUCAGACCCGGAGGGCAAUGAGCUCAUCGACCAAGAUUUCUACAUCACUGUGCUAGAGGACCGGCAGCCCCCAGUGGAGCAGGUGAACAAGGAGCUGACUGUGCAGGAGGGCCGCAGGAAGAAGAUCUCCACAGCCUUCCUCUCCUACACCGACGCCGACUCUGAGCCUGGGAGCCUCAAGUACACCAUCUUUGAGGGGCCCAGUCUGGGGCACUUGGAGCUGACAGGAGAGCGAGGUGUUCCCGUGACCGAGUUCAGCCAGGCUGACCUGGCUGCCCGUAGUGUGGUGUAUGUCCACACCAGCCCCCUGGAGGUCUACAUGGACAAGUUUGCCUUCUCUGUUACUGACGGGGCCAACACUAUGGUGAAGACCUUCUACAUCACCAUCUCCCCUGUGGAUGACGCCCUGCCGAUGGUCACCAACAGGGGACUCUCUGCUCAAGAGGGUGUCAGGAAACUCAUCACAGAGUUUGAUCUCAAGGCUACGGAUGAUGAUACCAAGGAAAGUGAGGUGAUCUUCAAAAUCGUGCAACCCCCUGUUCAUGGCACAGUUGACAUGGCAACACGGGAGGAGAUAUUUGAGUCAACAGACAAGUUCAGCAUGGAGGACAUAUACGAAAACAGGAUCAGCUACAAGCAUGAUGGCAGUGAGACACUGGAAGACAACUUCUCUUUUGUUGUCAGUGACGGCACUAACGACAAGUUUGUCAUGCUGGGAGACCAAGCAGAAAUUACUGAGCCUGUCACUACUCCACAGGACUUUGAGAUCAAUGUGCUGGCCCUUGAUGAUGGCAGUCCCAUCCUGGAGACCAACGUGGGUUUGCAGUUCCUGGAGUUCUCCGGGUCAGAGGUGUCCAACCUUAUCACCAGCAGAGAGUUGAAGUCCACAGAUGAGGACUCCCUUGUGGAGAACAUCGUGUAUGUCAUCAAGAAGUCCCCCAAACAUGGACGCCUUGAGUACACCGCCAAUCCAGGGGGCGCACUGGGAUCCUUCACACAGGAUGACCUUGACACUGGCAGAGUUAGGUACGUCUUGACUGACCAGACUACUGGGUAUCAGGACAGCUUCACCUUUGACCUGAUGGAUGCCAAGCCCAAUGUGGUCCCUGGCAACGUGUUCCACAUCAUGUGGUCAGUGAUCAGCUUCCAGCAUCCCCUGAUGAACGUGUCGGAGACGGAGGGACUGAUUCAGGUCCCAGUCACACGAGCUGGCAAUCUCAAGCAGUACUCCAUUGUGACCUGCAAGACCAUACCUGGCUCUUCCACAUCUCUGAUGAUUGGGGCUAAGCCAGGAGAGAAGGAUUUCAUUGAACACUCAGGACAGGUUCAGUUUGAUGAGUGGCAAGAUUCCAAAACAUGCACCAUCAUUAUCAACGAUGACUCCAUCUUUGAAGGCCCUGAAACCUUCUACAUAGAGCUUGUCAGUCCCUCCUAUGCCCUACUUGGAAACAUUGCCAAGAUGGCUGUCACACUGGUUGAUGCAGAGGAUGAACCAACCAUCCAGUUUGAGAAGGGCCUUUACCAUGUGAAUGAAUCUGAUGUCUAUGUGAUGGCCAAGUUGACAAGAACAGGUGACCUGAGUACGACGGUGUCCGUGAUCUGCUACACCACGGCCCUCACAGCCACGGGCAGUUCCCUCACCGGCCUGGAGUCAGGCUCCGACUACAUCUCCCGCGGACGCAGCAACUCCUACAGAGUUGUCUUCCCCUCCGGCGUGUCAGAGGCCACCUGUGAUGUCAAGAUCAUUGAUGACAGUGAGAGCGAGACAUCGGAGCAGUUCGAACUUGGCUUGAUGGAUCCUUCCAUCCCAGCAUCCCUGGGCUCACUCACCAAGGCCAAUGUCCUCAUAGAGGGACCCAAUGACCAGUCCACAGUGUUCCUGUCCGAACCAUCCUACAGUUUUGCAGAGAACGCUGGUAAUGUUGAGGUGGAGGUUGUGCGAGGUGGGACAGACCUGAGUCAUUCGACCACAGUGUGGUGUGCAACACGACUCUCCAGCCCUGCUUCAGCCACACCUGGACAGGACUAUGUACCUACCUCCAGUCAGAUGACAUUCGGCCCGGGGCAGAUCUCACAGAAGUGCCAGUUGACUGUGCUGGAUGAUGACUUCGACCCUCGCCUUGAGGGUAACGAGACAUUUGUAGUGUUCCUCAGCUCCGCUCUUGGCAGCAGUCUCGCAGAACCCUACAUCUCUACCGUCAUUGUCAGCGACACAAAGCUGGACAUUCCAAGGAUGACAUUUGUCCAAGAUCGCUACUAUGUAGAUGAGAAAAACAAGACUGUGAACGUAACCAUCAUGAGAUACGGGGACCUGACGGACACGUCCUCUGUGAUAUGCUACACGCGACAGAAGACAGCCGAGGUGAUGAUGGACUAUCAUGAGAGAGUCCUCACCAAUGCUUCCAGGAUAACCUUCCAGCCAGGAGAGAGGCUGAAGAACUGCACUGUGGGUAUAGUGAAUGAUGAUGAGUUUGAGCCGGAGGAGGACUUCCUGCUGCGACUGAGUGGUGCCUGGGGAAGUGGGGAGAGCGAGGCUGAGCUGGGGGACAUGAAGGAGACCAUUAUCACCAUCACCAACCACGAUGAUGUGCCAACAAUCCAGUUUGCACAGGCAGCCUACAGCACCCAUGAGCCGAGUGCCACUGAACAGAUCACGUCUGUGGAGGUGAAGGUCGUGAGGAGUGGGGACCUGAACAAGUCCUCGUCUGUCCGAUGCAGCACCAGGGACGGCUCGGCACAGUCAGGCAUGGACUACAACCCCAAGAGCAUGGUGCUUGACUUCAAACCAGGUGUGAGUGAGCUUGACUUUGUUGUGGACGUGCUGUACAACAGUGACAUAGAGUGGCACGAGUCCUUCACCCUGAUGCUAGGCCCUGAAGACCCUGAGGGAGCUGUGUUUGGGCCAGUCAAGACAACCACCAUCACCAUCCUGGACAACGAAGUCUCAGGGAGCAUCAUACUACCAGCCCCUCCUGUUGUGGUGUCUCUGCUGAAUUAUGAUGAUGCUGAGCUUGGAACUAAAAUCGACCCAUCUCCAGGGUAUCCUCUUGUCUGUAUAACGCCCUGUGAUGAGCACUACCCCACAUUCACCAAGACCCACAUGCUGUGUGAGGAGGCAGGCAUCAACCAGUCCAGCCUCCUGUACACCUGGGAGGUGUCUCUGCCCGAGGAGGAGGACGGAUCAAGGCCACCAUUCAUGCAGGUCUCGGACACCACCUUGUUCACAGACGUCAACAAGAUUGUCCUGGAUAGCGUGUACUUCCGCUCUCGCUUCCAGGUCCGAUGUAUUGCCCAACCGAGACAUGAGAACGGGAACCCAGGCGUCCCUCUCAAGAGCAGAGUUGUCACUAUAGGAAGUGAUAAUGGUAUCUGUAAAUCGCCAGUAUUUGGCAGCAAUCCUUACAGUUACCAAGCUCAGUCCUUUUUAGCAAACCUUGAAUAUGUGGGGCCUGAUGACUUUGACCAUCCAAACACAAUACACAUCUCGGUGAAGAUUCCCCAUCAGGAUGGCAUGCUGCCUCUGAUCUCCACCUUCCCCUUACACAAUCUAAGGUUCUUGCUGGCAGAGCCAAUCUACCGCCAGCAGCAUGUCUGCUCCAACAUCAUCACAGCAGAGGAACGAGAGCCUCUCAUUGAUGAAGGCUUCUUUGAUGGGAAGCUUGGUGACUCUCUGCCCUACGGGCCAGGUCAUGAGUUCCCCUACCAGUUUGAUGAUGACCUGCGAGAGGAGAAGACACUGUCUCUGUACAAGCACCUCAACCUGAAGAGCUGCAUCUGGACCUUUGAUGCCUGGUACCAUAUGACAGAGUUGGUGGACAUCUGCGGUGGAAGGAUCGUGUCGGACUUUCAGGUGAAGGAUACAGGGCAGUCACAUCUCACAGUGCGAGUUCCCCUGUACGUGUCUUACCUGUACGCCACGGCACCUGUAGGGUGGGGCUCCCUUGAGCAUCGCACGGAGAUGGAGUUUUCAUUCUACUAUGACACCAUCUUGUGGAAGUCUGGCUUGGAGACUGAGGGCACACUGGGAGGCAAGCUGCAGAUUCUCAGGAUACUCAUUGGCAGUGAUGGCAAACUUGUUAUUGACUUCAGGACUACAGCCAAGUUUAGAGGUCAGUAUGUACUGAGCCACAGCACCCUGCCAGCACUGGAGAGCAGGAUCAAGCCACCUUCCAGCCUGGCCAUCGGCUUUGAUCUGAAGCUGUUGUGGAGCCAACAGACAUUUGACAGUCCACAUCAGCUCUGGAGGGCAACGAGCAGCUUUAACCUCAAGGACUACACAGGGCGUUACACCAUAGAACUCAUCCCCUGCAGCGUCAAGGCCACUCAAAGAUAUAUCAAGAUUGACCCUAUACCUUGCAUCGCUUCACAGCCACAGAGCUUUGAGGUGCCCAUCUCCUUCCAGCAGACCAACCGGCCUGUCCCUGUGGUGUACUCUCUGAACACAGACUUCCAGCUCACCAACAACCUCAAGAUGUUUCUUCUCAGCCCUAACUCCACAGAGGCCUCACAGGAUGACUGGGACUUCAACGGGGCAUUCUCUCCAGGCCAGAAGAUCUAUGCCAGGGUCUUAUGGAGUCCAGAACAGGAUUUGAAAACAGCAUACAAAUUGGGAAUAGAAAAGGUGUAUCUUUGUACAGGCAGUGACGGGUACAUCCCCACAUAUGACCCCACAGGGGAGGAGUACAACGAAGGGCCACAGUUCGGCUGUAUGCAGCCCAGCCCCAAACUCAGGCAGAGGUUCCUCAUUCUUGAUCGUGGGAAUCCUGAUGCUGUCCAGACAAACUUCCACGACGUAGCAUUCGAAGCGCAGCUGGCCUACGAGAACCCGGACUAUAUAGGCCUCACCAAUAUGCCAGGGGUGGACGGCUUCGCCAUGAGUGUAGACCCUCUCUACAAGGUCGACUCAGGACAUCAGUGGUACCUCCAGGUCAUAUAUGUCAUCGGACCCUCUGACAAACUCCGGAAACGCUUCCGUCGUUCAUCAAUGCUACGCUUCAGACGCGAUGCCUCAGGAGCAUCCAACAGUUUUGAUGAGCCAAAGAACGGCACCAACAUGCGACUACUUCACCUUGACAAUGCACAUGUCUAUUCUGAACCUGACUCUCCAUUCCCACUGGUCCCCCAUGUUGCAGCCCCUGCAGCUGUGGGUGGACUCCUCUUCAUUAUUGUGAUCAUAGUUAUUAUGAUAGUCGUGAUACGGCGGCGGCGGCGACGAAAGAAAGAGCCGCCAGUGAAACCCAACAAUCUAGUGACACUGGUAGACACUCCAGACAGUGGUAUCACCACCAACAGGUGGAAGGGCUCUCGCAGGAGUCUCAGGAUGACAGACUCCAGGAGGAAUCUUAAUACCCAAGAGGAAAAAUCAAAUUUAGUAAAAGCUAAAGAAGUGAACUUAAAGGUAAUACAUGGAAAUAAUGUGGAUUCUGGGACAGAAGUUUGAUGCAUAAUUAGCAGUAAUGCAGCAUUAAUAUAAGUACAGCACCAUGUAUGUGCAAAUGGAGGUUAGGUCCAUGGAGUGGUAACCUGCAGAUUUAAUGUGUGAGGCUGCCAUUGAGGAUGUAAUUCUACAGAUCCCGCAGGUGUUCAUGGAGGCAGUGGAUUUAGGCAGAUAGUUGAUGCAGACCUUUGAUCAUGAGAUGUGCUCUCUACUGAGAUGCAGAGUGUGCAAAAUAUCAAGCUACAAUGGCUAUCAUGGUGAAGCUGGCUCUCAGUAUUGCAAUGGAAAUACUAUAGGUCUCUUCAGGCCCAACUUUCCACUGACAAUGGAGAACUUGUAACAUGCUUGCAAAACGUACGUACCAAAUGUUGUACAUCUUCAUUUAAGAGGAUGUAUAAAGCCAUAUUCCCAUAUUUUAUACGUAACUUAUUGUCCCUACCGUGACUUAAUCAUCCUGCAAUAACACCUCUGUGUCUAUGCUCCCGUUGUCAUAAUCAGGACAGAGUGCUACAAAGUAACCAGAUUGUUGCAUAAUUCUGCAAGUGUUGCAAUGUAUUGUUUUAUGUUGUUCAGGUGCAUUUGUGCAAUUAAGUGUGCAGGAUAUGUGAUUUCAUAAACUUUAUAAAUGUUUUGUUUUGUCUACAACUGAUAUACAUUGUCCAUCUUUCUCAUGUCCAUGUUUUCAUGCACUCAAUACACACAAGUUAGGACAUAAUUCUAAUAUGAAAUUGUUAUGUUUAAAUAGGCAGCAUCUGUUUCCUUGUUGAUAAAACUCUGUAAGCUAUGAGAGAAGGCAGUCAGAAGCUGAGGAUAUUCGAGGUAUACAAGAAAUGUUAAUGAGAUAUUAAAUAGGGAAUAUAAUUGUUUCAGUUUUUGAGUACAGAUUUGCUAUUGUUCAAAUGUUGCAUUUAUGGAUAUGUUAUCAAAACCGGUAUUGUUUACCAUUUACAAGACUGUGCCUUUUCUGUGUAUAUUCAGUAGUAACUUGGCCACCAUGAUGUAUAAACUAAUUAUGUGUACAGUUAGGUAUUAUUUAUAUGAGGAACAGUGUAUAUUGUGUAUACGAUUGUUUGGCAUGAGAUACGUACGUGUAUAUUUUGAGGAAAUGCAUGUUGUGACCAUUGUUUAAGCUUCUAUGCAAACAAGGAACAUUGUACAGACAUCUGAUGUUGUUACAUGUGGAAUGUGUGCUUCAGGAUAAAGGAUCCCAGUUCUAUGUAUUGUGUUAGGUAGCAGGGUUUUGUGUGAUGUGGGAAAUCUGAAUUUGUUUCAGUACAAUGCAUGGUAUAUGAAUAUGGACAUUUUUUUUAUAUAAUUAACUUACUUUUACUCUUCAACAAACAUCUGAAUUUUAUGUUUGCCUCAUUAAUGUAAUACACAGGUAUAUAUUUACUCCUUAAUGUGGAGUAGAAUGGACAUACCAGUAAAAUGUGUUAUUUGUCCUCAAUAACUAGGUUAUUACAAACUUACACAAUCUUUCUUCUCAGAACGUCAGUAUAUCGCAAACUUGUAAUGAUUACCCACAGUGAGGAAAACAUCAGCUUAGUUUUGUCACCUACUUUACAUUUUCAUCCAUGUCUUUCUGAAACUGUAAAUGUUGGAUUUCGAGUCACUCAUGUAUUUCUCUAUCAUGGUUGAUGAUCACACAUAGAUCGAGACCUAUCUACCUCUAAGUAUACACGACCUGACAGUAUUCAUACCAUUGUCAUAUCAUUGAUCCUUUAUGAAUCUCCAUAUACUGUAUUGUAUAUAUUGGGCAAGAGUUUAAGAGAAACCUAUUUCCAUAUCAGGUAGCCAGUCUCGAAUCCAACCAUUUUGUCAACUAGACAUGAAAUUGAGCAUGUAAAUAUUUUCAUUAACACAAAUGUGAAAUUUAGUUAUUUGAUUCUUGCUGAAUGUUUUGUUAUAUGCCCUCAUCAAUCCAAAGAGUUACUUCCCUUGAACUGUGGAGAUAUAAUGGAAAAGUGUCUGCUUCCUGUAUAUAUAACUUAAGGUGUCCAGUUACUUCCUGGUCAGUAGCUCCACUCCAACCGAUUCCAUUCAUGCUAACAUGAGGGUGCCACCUCCCUGUCACUCUAGGCAUCCGACAUACCACUUAAUUUGUCUUCAGAUCCAACUUAAGAAAUCUUGUGUAGACAGUUGGUAAACUAGACAGGGAUUUUCACAUAGAAUGAAUGACCAUGGUUGCUCAUAAGCUAAGGGCUAAAUAUUUUGUCGAGUUAUCACUUCUUGCAAGAAAAAAACAUGAAAUGAACUUCAACAUUGAAAUAUUUGCAUGCAGAUAAACAUUUCAUAGCAUCCAGCGUACUGCACUGUGUCAUCCGGAAUACCACUUAAUAGCGUACAGCAUAUGGCAUCGCAAAAGGGGGUGGCACCCUCUAACAUGGUCUAUGUGGACUCCUUGUGCCUGUGUCCUAGUAGGUGUCGGAUCUCUAUGUGGACUCCUUGUGCCUGUGUCCUAGUAGGUGUCGGAUCUCUAUGUGGACUCCUUGUGCCUGUGUCCUAGUAGGUGUCGGAACUUGGUGUGAUCCAGCAAGAUAAUACUCAACUGUAGCAAUGUGCUUACAGCAUCUCUGAUCUGCUGUAUACUCUACAUGUAUGUAUGUAAAGUAACAAUCAGCAUAAUAAAGCCAUUCAAUUAA
rnacentral:misc_RNA from 1 species